ensembl:snRNA U6 U6 spliceosomal RNA
GUGCUUGCUUCAGUUGCACAUAUACUAAGAUUGGAACGUUACAGAAGACUAGCAUGGUCCCUGCACCAGGGGACAAAGCAGUACUAUAAGUCAUACUGCUUCCC